ensembl:snoRNA SNORA70 Small nucleolar RNA SNORA70
CUUCACCUGGUUAGGCUGACUUACCCACCUCCCUGAUGGGGCUCAGUGUGAAGUGCCGCAAAAAGUGGAUUCCCUGGUUGGGUAUGGCAGCUUACUUCUUUUCUGUAUUGCUCUAAGGGACCUUGGAGACAUCU